UUGUGUAUUUUCCUGAAUACUUUCCUCUCAAUUCCCUUCAUUCAUUACAAGGAACAAAAAUGAUCCCAUGGCUGAAUUUGGUGCUCUUGCUAAUGCUCCUUCAAGGAGUCCAUUCUCAAGUCCAGUUGGUGGAGUCUGGAGGGGAUGUGAGAAGACCUGGAGAUUCCCUCCGUCUCUCCUGCCAAGCCUCUGGAUUCACCUUCAGCAGCUACGGCAUGAGCUGGGUGAGACAGGCUCCAGGGAAAGGACUAGAAUGGGUUGCAAGCAUGGGUACAUCCUCCACUUACUACCCAGAUAAAGUCAAGGGACGCUUCACCAUCUCCAGAGACGAUGCCAAAAGCCAGCUCUAUCUGCAAAUGAACAAUCUGAAAGCAGAGGACACAGCUGUCUAUUACUGUGCAAGAUACACAAUGAGAGGAAGUGAAUCAGAUGCCAGGAGUAGUUCUCAGAGGUAA